UGUGGUUCCCCCAGAAGAAGAGAGACUUGUCAAAGGUCAUUCUGUAAAUGACAGAGUUGGCAUUUAUUAAGUCUCAGGUUUGAGAUUGUUGCCUCCAGGGUUUUUCCGGCUUUGUGUUGACAAUGCCAGAUUUUCAAGGCGGGGUGGAGGAGCGUGGGAAUUAGGGGAAGCUGCUAUGUGACCCGCAUCUUUCCUCUGUCUUCCACCCAAGUGUCCUUGUGCCCCCAGCUACUUUCUCCAAUUUGCCUGAUUUCAUCCUGGGUGUUUUGUGUUUGGCUUUCACUACUGACUUCUCCUGUGGGCCCCCUGACAGUGACCGUGACUCUUAAACAGCCUUGUGGUUUCACAGUGCCAUCCCUGCCAGGCGCUAGUUUCUUCAGAGCCUUGGUCCCCCAGCUUGGGAGCCUGGGGAUGGGUGUGCCCCAUGGGAGGGGCAGGCAAGGACAGAGAGCAGCGAGACUGUAGUGGGGUGUUUCUGCCUGUGUGUCCCUGGGUGUCUGCAUCUGCGUGGCAGCAGCCCAGCAUGAGGCUGAGGGUGAGGGAGGCAUGCCCGGGCAUGUCUGCUGGGGCAGGCUGGCCAGGUUCCUGAGAAGACCAAGGAGAUCCUUGGGAGAGAUAAGGAAACUGAGGCUCACGUCACCAGUCAUCAUUGGAGUCCCUGCCUGUCUGAGCCUCUGACUACUGUCCUCUCUGGAGAACUUGAGAGCCCUUGUGGGGACAUCUGGA
rnacentral:lncRNA from 10 species